ensembl:lncRNA
CUUGGAUUAGUUCUCAUUAAUAAUGUUUGAAGCAGCCAAUAUGAAAUGGCAGAAGAUGCAUUCAGAUGAUACAGCGGACCACAGGAUUUCAUUUAAUGCUCCCCUUCACUGUUGCAGCAUUAUCAUGAUCCAUUGGGAGUGGGCCAUGGCAACCCUAUUAUCCUGUAGAGGGAUAUGCUGUCACUCAAUAGUUGGCACAGGAGCGUGCGGAGGAGAAAGCCCAGUGCUGCUGGGACAGAGACUCUGCGAGUGCUCACCGUUGACGUGCAUGUCCAUGGGGACAAAGAAGCCUGCCAGCUCAUGGGAGCCGGGAGAAAAAUGUGUGCUGUGCGUCCAGGGAGAUGCUGACCCAGACAUCUACGGGCGCAAAGUGAUCAUCAAUGGGAUCUAUUUCCAUGAGUUUUGUAUGAUAUUUUCUGGCGGCCUUCUUCAAGCAGCAAG